CUUUGGGAAGCCCAACUCUGACCACAUUUGGCAAGACAACGAUUCCAAAUAUUAAGACAUGCCACACAUCCACCCUGUGCCCAUUCAUCCCGCCAACAUGUAUUGAUCACCAACUCACCAAGCACCAAGUUACAUCUGUGUUCUCCUCCCUUCUUUCCUCCCAACCAAAUCCUCCCUUUCCUUCACAUCCACUCAAGUGUCCCUCUUUUUUAUUUUCAAAGCUUCUCUAGACAGAUCUUCUCAUGGUGACUUUUCCUCUUUUCACCCCUCCCACUAAUUAUAAUCGGGGCCUCAGUUUGACCCUUAAUUGUUUUCUGAUUGUUUUCCCACUAUCAGUCCUGUCUCCCCAGUGACAAGAACCACGUGACAGAUAAUACUGCUUUUACAUUCCACUCUGCCUAGCACAGGGCCGAGCUCCAUAAAUAUUCAUUGAAUGAAAGGUUGAGAACAGAAAGAAGAGUGUAUUUCUUUCAUAAAGGAGAAGGAAGCAAGGCUUAUUGGUAGCUUUGGGGGACAGGGGAAGGGAUUCCUUCUCUGUUUUGAAUUAUUGAUACAACUGAAAAUUAAUCAAUGUGAGCUCCCCAAGAGCAGGGGUUUUGCCUGUUUUAUUUAUGGCUGUGUGCCCAGGGCCUAGAUGAGUGCCUGAUAGGGAGUGGGAUGUCCAAUACUCUGGUGAGGAUGGAUACGUUUAUCAGCCUUCUCAUGGUGAUUUUCUAAGCACUAUCUAGAAAAGUAAAAACUUGGGAUGAAAUAGGGAGAAAUGAAGAGGAAAAUAGCCCUUCGGCUUCCCCCAACUUCUUUCCUGAACAUGGUUUCCAUUUUUCUAAUUUGAAGAAAAUCAGUUGCAAGUGGAGAUUUACUUUCCUGGGCCCAUCCAUCUUCAGAAGCAACUACAUCUGAUGAGACUUUUGUAAAAUAAAUAAAUAGAUCCCCAAGGCAUUAAAAAAUAAUCACUGAAAACAACAUGGUUAAAUGUUCUCCCUGGGUUUCACAACAUAUCACAAUAGAUCCACAGCUACAGGCUGUUCCAGGUGCACAGCAAGCCCUCCAUGAAUGUUUGCUGAACUAACCAGGCUCCAAGAAACAAAAAGGACUCGGGAUGCUGGAUAUCAGUCUGUGCCUCAGCACGGCCUACAUUAGAUCAGUAAUUUUCUGCUCAGAUGAAGAAAUGCCCAAGUAUUUUAUUCUUUCACGAAGCAUCUCGAGAAGUAUUUUUAGUAACUACGAAGGCAAGUAAGGGGCCCCAAAUCCCCAUCUCCACUCCGCUAUCAACAAAGUGGGCUGUUCUCUAAAAGCGUGAACUGCAGCUUUGAUUCUCUACCAAAUAAAUGUUAAAUAAUCAGCCAUCCACUAAAAGGUGGUAAAUGCUAGCUUUCCCAGAACAGCCGUAUCUGGGAGGUAAGGCCCAUGAUGGUGAAAAGUGCAGCCAGUCAGGACAUUCUGACUGGUGUUCAGAUCCAACACAGAAAGGGGGCUUCGGCCUGCACCGCUGGGCCAGGAGAGGGCCGCUCUCUGCUUCCUGCCUUUGGCCACAGCAGGAAGAGAGGAAAGGAGAUUGGUGUUUGUCUUCACCACUCAGACAUUCCAAAGUGAAGUCUCCUGUGCCUGGGUAUGAUUUUUGGAUAUCUUGUAAUCAGCAAAAAUUUAACUAAGCAAAACAAAGGAAUCGAAAGAAGAAAGGUAAACAAAACUGCCAAUACCUUCCCACACCAACAAGACAAAACAAGACACGCAGUCUUUUGGGUCCAAGGUCUCCAACCAAUACCUGGCUUCAACGCAAACGAGACUGUCAGUGCAUUGCUGGUCGACUGAGGUAGUCUAAGAUUACUGCUCAAGCCAAGGAUUCAUGGAAGGAAGAAAAUGAAAAACCUGUGCUGACCUACACAUUUCACAUUUAAAGGAUAUAAGAACUAGGCACAGGCAAUGAUGCCAAGUUAUGGUUUCAAUGUACCAUGCAUCUCUAGCAUUAUGGAGAGGCGUUCUUUACACGCCAGACGCUUCACACUCAGGGAGGUGGCCUUCCGAUCCUUCUCCAUCUACACAGAUAGCCCUUGACCUAACAGAAUGCCUUCCAAGACUACAACACCGAUUAUUAUUGUCACUAUUAUUAUUUUUUAAAAUCCGUCCUGCUGUUAGUAAAAUGUCAAGGCAGAUAAGAGAUUGGCACAGGAACCUGAACCAGCUUUCUGGAAUCUCUAGUUCAGAAGCCCCAAAGGGAUAUAGGUUCCUGAAAAGUCAAACGUGCGAGUCUCGCCGGCGCGGGUAGGGGUUGGGGCUGAGGAUACAGCCGUCCAAGAGCUCUGGGGGCCUCCGAAGCCCCGGGAGUCAGCGCUCGGCCACCAGCCCUGCGUCACUGCCCGGCGGUACCCACCCUGCAGCAUUCCGGGCGGUCGGAGCCGGCGGGGCGCUGCCGGGGCGCACAGGGCGCGGCGUGCACUCACCUCAGGCUCCACGCGACCAUGUGCCACCACGCGGGCACGCAGCCCUGCUUGUCUGUCUCCAUCCCGCGUCACGUCUGGAUCCGCCGCCGCCGCCGCGGGAGCUGCCGCCGGUAGCUCAGAGCCGCGCCCCGGUCGCUCUCCUCCCCCGCGGGUGUGGCGACCCGGGGGCCCUGCGGCGGGUGGAGUGGGGCGCCUGACCCAGCGCGCGGCUGGGCGCGGCCCGGGGGCGCCCCCGACGCCACACGCACUGAUGUGUGAUGGAAAUAAGUGCCCUACUCUUCUAGCUGGCUACGCGCAAACUUAUUUUCUGUUUUAUUCUAUACAUCUCUGUGUGUGUGUGUGUGUGUGUGUGUGUGCGCGCGCGCGCGCUCGCGUGCGCGCCCUGCGUGGAGUAAAAUACAUUUCUUACUGUCAUAGUAAUAAAACAAAAGUCUGAGAGUCGCAGCUUUAGAAGAUCCUCCUGAAGGACAUAUGCUUUCCUCCACUUUAACCCUUCUUUUUUCUUUCUCCCUUUUGUUUUUCCCUUUUUCCCUGAACCUUCCCUUCCCAACCCCCAUCUUCUCCCUCUCUCUCCCUCUCUCCUCUCUCUCUUUCCCUCCCUCUCUCUUUCUCUCUCUCUGUCUCUCUCACACACACACAAACCUGUCAUCAUUACUGUAGUAAGAAUUUCUUUAGCUCCCUUCCAUUGAUUACUACUUUAUCUGUCCACAGGGUUAUGAACUACGCAAUUACUCCAUGUGUACAAAUGCACCACCUUUUUGGUGUUUUGUUUACCUAGCAGCAGGUAGCAGAAACCUCCACCUCCACUCCCCCUUGUAUCAGGAGUUCAGGCUUCGAAAGGUUUGGCAGCGAUGCGCUUACAUCGUGCACUGUCUUCUGGAGCAGAAACCGUCCUUCACCAGAGCUGUUCCAGGGAAGCCACGGGGCAAAGUGUGAGGGCAAAGGGGGACAAAGGGAAUGAGGUUCCAUUUGGAACCAAUUUGAUGCCAGCACCAAGACUGCAUCUGGGAGGCAAGGAAUGUCAACUUUUGGAUGCACAUCAAGAUAGAAGAGGAAUCAGAUGAGGAAGGACCAGAGGAAUCUGAGCCUGCCUGAUGAGCCAGCUGCAGCUGGGUCACACCCUGCAUGAUGAGAAACCUUAAGCCACCGUCAGAUUCCACCCCCGGAGUCAUCCGUGAAAUGGGUCUGGAAUCUCACAGAACUUAUUCAGGGGAGCUCCGGAGGAUACCCUGGGCCAUGCCCUGUGGAGGUGGAGGGAUCAGAGAUGGCAAGAACAGGGGGAGGAGAGAGCAGCAGCUGCGUUUGGUCCCAGCUUCUAUUUCCAUCUGUUUAUUCAGGUUGAGAGGUCAGAGGCCCACGUGCUGGUUGAGCAAACAAAGUUGUAAGUCCCAAGUCUAAGGAAAUGGUUGAAAUGCUCAGCAAAAUCUCUGAAGUUAGAAAUAACUAUGGCCCUUUUUUUUUUUUAAAGACUGUAUAAAUUAAAACUCUAGGAGAAAUCUUU